CACCUGCAGCCAUUUCUUUCUGAUGCAGGACUCCAUGUUGGUUUGCCUAAUUAAUCAACAAUCAACAGAUCCUUCUAGAAAAGAAAGAGAAAAGAGACUGAACUUCCUUCGGUGAGACAGUCAUGAAAUAGUCUUCACUCCAUUUUCCCAGCCAAGAGAUGGAAAGAAGAUGUAAAAAGGUUGGCCACCUUUCCUCAUCCCUCAGCUCUGACUUGAUUUGUCUGCAGGACUCAGACACGGUAGGGGAGCCUACGGUAGUAAAUUCCCCCACGGAAUCCUGCCGUAUAUGGGGACUUUCUUUUCUUGCCCAUAAAAGGUAUGGAAAGCUCCCGUCAGUUUUAGCGGUUAUUGUACUGUCUCAGCGCCAGCCCCUCACUCAUGCACUGUGACAGAAAACAGUAAGAGAGGCACCAGGAAGAGAAAAUGUGUCAAAUUCCCCCAGCCUCCUAGAGAAGGAAGACUGUCACUAUUGAUAAUAGCAUGUUUUACAAUGUGAUUCAUUUGGGAAAAGUUUAAAAUGAAAAAACUCUGUGUCAGGACUAGGAAUACAAUGAUGCACACACUCCCAGCCUUCGUGGAGCUCACAGUUGGCUGAUGGAGAACAACAUUAAACAAGCAAUAACAGUAAAGUAAGGUCAGGAAAGAGCAGGAAAACACCCCCGAUGGUCCUGGCUCUCCUGCGGCAGUGAAGCGGGUAGGUGACAGGGGUGCCUUGAGGACUUUGUCAAUCCUCGUUUCUGCCAAAGCCCAGAUACCUCCAAGCCGCUGCUGGAGACAGAAUAGCAACACAUCUUGCUUCCGACUGCCUUCCAGCUCCAAAUCUUAAGCAAGUAUAUCUCAUUGGCUGAACGGUAAUGGUGUUCAGAACCCUAGAGAUAAAGGAGUGUGGGGUGAGUGGUUCCCAGGCUUCCAGCCCAUGUAGUCAAAGGUAUGGCUAGCAGAAAUAAAAGCCGGUUGCAAAGAGAAACCAAGAAAAACAAAGUCCAGCAUGGUUUUGCCUAAAUUUGCUAGCCUAUCCUUUUGUAUGUAAGGCACUCAAAACUUUCCAAAUGAGCUAAACUCUCCAAGUUCUUCACUCAUCAUUUGCCCCCAUGGACACUGUAUUCUAGAAUAUGUGCGAAAUGACAUGCAAUUUUCCAAACGUAUUUCCAUGCCUUUGCACUUGUCCUACCACUCAAAAGUUACCUUUCCUCUGCCUGUGAAGACUGGUCCCGUCCCUCCACUCCCCUACCCCCUUGUCCCAUACCUGCAUCAGGCAGGAUUGACCCGGAUCUCCUCAGUAUUUCCCCUGCGCUUGGUUCACAGUUCUGUUACGGCCACUUGUCCCAGUGAAUUUCAACUUUUAGUCAGAGGAUCCAUCCCUUCCAGUAGACAUAGCAUCCUAAGAGAAAAGAGAAGAUACUGCAUCCAAGAAAAAAGAACAGACUCAAACAGAAAAGGAAUAUUCAAAAGCCAAAAUGGAAUUCUUAGAAAUUAAAAACAGCAGAAAUGAGAAACUCAACAGUAAAUCUCUCAGAAAGUCAAGCAAAAAGACAAAGAGAUAGAAAAAUUGGAGGGAAAAUAGCAAGCCAAAUUAGAAGACUAGUCCAAGAAUUCGAAUAUCUAAGUAAUAGGAGUUCCAGAGAGAGAGAGA
ensembl:lncRNA